UACGUAGGGAGCGAGCGUUGUCCGGAUUCAUUGGGCGUAAAGAGCGUGUAGGCGGCCGUACAGGUCAGCUGUGAAAACUCGAGGCUCAACCUCGAGACGUCGGUUGAAACCGUACGGCUAGAGUCCGGAAGAGGAGAGUGGAAUUCCCGGUGUAGCGGUGAAAUGCGCAGAUAUCGGGAAGAACACCCGUGGCGAAGGCGGCUCUCUGGGACGGUACUGACGCUGAGACGCGAAAGCGUGGGGAGCGAACAGG
rnacentral:rRNA from 1 species